rnacentral:rRNA from 1 species
UACGGAGGGUGCGAGCGUUGUCCGGAAUCACUGGGCGUAAAGGGCGCGUAGGCGGCCUGAUAAGUAGGGGGUGAAAUCCUGCGGCUUAACCGCAGGGCUGCCUUCUAAACUGUCAGGCUAGAGCACGGUAGAGGCAGAUGGAAUUCCCGGUGUAGCGGUGGAAUGCGCAGAUAUCAGGAGGAACACCGGUGGCGAAGGCGGGUCUCUGGGCAGUAACUGACGCUGAGGAGCGAAAGCGUGGGGAGCGAACAGG